CAAAACCGGUCCCCGUACGAUCACCGAUGUUAAGCAAUGUCGAGCCUGAUCAGUGCCUAGUUGGGUGACCGCUUGGGAAUAUCAGGUGUU